CAACCCGUACCAUAGACAUCUUGUACAGUAACCAAUUUAAAUGACACUGUUUAGAUUGUUUGUGAGGGCUGACAUCAACAUAGUACCAUAUAGAGUAGAAAAGAAGACAAAACACUUAUCCCUCAUACUUCAAACACACUUCUCUUCACUCUUAGUCAAAGAAACCUCCUGUUCUUUGUUCCUCUCUGAAUCCAUCGACAAAGCUCCGUGGAAGACGACUAAAGCUGGAUUUUGACGUGCGAUUAUACAGCGGGUGUCAUGUGUGUCUUCUUCGAUGAGUGUAGGUUCUUAUUUUGCAAACCAAAUUCAAAGGAAGGCAGCAUUUUCGGCGCUACUGCAAAGAAAGUGUUGCAAGGCCCAUAAAACUGAAAGUUGUCAAAGGGAAGAGUCAGAAGAAAUGCCUCCCCCCAAGUUGUCGCAACAUCAACAACUCCUUCUGCUGAAACCAUUAGGGAAACUAGCUCUGUCACUAUCAAGAGACUUGCUGACUAUAUGACUUUUGUUCCUACUCCAAGAUUCAACUCUCUUAAGAAGAAGGAUAAACUUAUUUGAUGCUGAUUUCUGAUCAUUAUGUAAUUAGAACUAAUGCCAUAUUUUUUGUAUAGGGCUCUCUUAUUGCCAUUAAAAAUAUUGUGGUUGGUUUUAUUGUUAAGUCCAUUUUUUUGCUUUAGCCCUUUUAUUAAGUUAAUGGUAGUGAUAUAAGCUAUUAUAGUUAGCUUUUUGGAUAUCGAUCAGACAAUUAUGAUCAAACAAUGUUGUUUCAGUUUCAAUAUAUGAAAAUAUUUAGUUUAU